GUGCCAGCAGCCGCGGUAAGACAGAGGGCGCGAGCGUUGUUCGGAAUUACUGGGCGUAAAGCGCGCGCAGGCGGACCUGUGCGUCCGGAGUGAAAUCUCGCCGCUCAACGGCGAGGCUGCUUUGGAAACGGCAGGUCUGGGGACCGGUAGAGGCUGGUAGAAUUGCAGGUGUAGCGGUGGAAUGCGUAGAGAUCUGCAAGAAUACCCGUGGCGAAGGCGGCCAGCUGGGCCGGAUCCGACGCUGAGGCGCGAAAGCGUGGGGAGCAAACAGGAUUAGAUACCCUGGUAGUCC
rnacentral:rRNA from 1 species